ACAGGCCUAACACAUGCAAGUCAGGGGCAGCACAAGGAGCAAUCUGAGGUGGCGACCGGCGCACGGGUGAGUAACACGUAUGCAACCUGCCUGUAAGCGGGGAAUAACCCGUUGAAAGACGGACUAAUACCGCAUAAUACUAAAUUACUGCAUGGUAAUUUAUUUAAACAUUUAUGGCUUACAGAUGGGCAUGCGCAUGAUUAGCUAGUUGGAGAGGUAACGGCUCCCCAAGGCAACGAUCAUUAGGGGUUCUGAGAGGAAGGUCCCCCACACUGGUACUGAGACACGGACCAGACUCCUACGGGAGGCAGCAGUGAGGAAUAUUGGUCAAUGGACGAGAGUCUGAACCAGCCAAGUCGCGUGCAGGAAGAAUGUCCUAUUGGAUUGUAAACUGCUUUUGCAGGGGAAUAAAGUGCAUCACGUGUGAUGUUUUGUAUGUACUCUGCGAAUAAGGAUCGGCUAACUCCGUGCCAGCAGCUGC
rnacentral:rRNA from 1 species